rnacentral:tRNA from 2 species
GCGGACGUAGUUCAAUGGUAGAACGAGAGCUUCCCAAGCUCUAUACGAGGGUUCGAUUCCCUUCGCCCGCUCCA